UACGUAGGGUGCAAGCGUUGUCCGGAAUUAUUGGGCGUAAAGAGCUCGUAGGCGGUUUGUCGCGUCUGCUGUGAAAACCCGAGGCUCAACCUCGGGCCUGCAGUGGGUACGGGCAGACUAGAGUGCGGUAGGGGAGACUGGAAUUCCUGGUGUAGCGGUGAAAUGCGCAGAUAUCAGGAGGAACACCAAUGGCGAAGGCAGCUUGCUGGGCUACUCCUGACACUGAGGUACGAAAGCGUGGGGAGCGAACAGG
rnacentral:rRNA from 1 species